GACAGAGGGUGCAAACGUUGCUCGGAAUCACUGGGCGUAAAGGGCGUGUAGGCGGGAAGGAAAGUCAGAUGUGAAAUCCCUGGGCUCAACCCAGGAACUGCAUUUGAAACUCCCUUUCUUGAGUGUCGGAGAGGAAAGCGGAAUUCCUGGUGUAGAGGUGAAAUUCGUAGAUAUCAGGAGGAACACCGGUGGCGAAAGCGGCUUUCUGGACGACAACUGACGCUGAGACGCGAAAGCGUGGGGAGCAAACAGG
rnacentral:rRNA from 1 species